rnacentral:rRNA from 1 species
GAUGAACGCUGGCGGCGUGCCUAAUACAUGCAAGUCGAGCGAACGGACGAGAAGCUUGCUUUUCUGAUGUUAGCGGCGGACGGGUGAGUAACACGUGGAUAACCUACCUAUAAGACUGGGAUAACUUCGGGAAACCGGAGCUAAUACCGGAUAAUAUUUUGAACCGCAUGGUUCAAAAGUGAAAGACGGUCUUGCUGUCACUUAUAGAUGGAUCCGCGCUGCAUUAUCUAGUUGGUAAGGUAACGGCUUACCAAGGCAACGAUGCAUAGCCGACCUGAGAGGGUGAUCGGCCACACUGGAACUGAGACACGGUCCAGACUCCUACGGGAGGCAGCAGUAGGGAAUCUUCCGCAAUGGGCGAAAGCCUGACGGAGCAACGCCGCGUGAGUGAUGAAGGUCUUCGGAUCGUAAAACUCUGUUAUUAGGGAAGAAAAUAUGUGUAAGUAACUGUGCACAUCUUGACGGUACCUAAUCAGAAAGCCACGGCUAACUACGUG